CGUUCUAUGGCCGAAUUCGUAAAGGCAUCGCUGAUCGAGGCUAGGUUGCGGGUUCGAGUCCCGCUGUAACGG
rnacentral:tRNA from 1 species